rnacentral:rRNA from 1 species
AGGGUGUAAACGCUGCAGACUUGGUGUUGGAGGCCCUUUGGGGGGCAUUCAGUGCCGGAGAGAAGUUGUUAAGUCUGCUACUUGGGGAGUACGUCCGCAAGGAUGAAACUUAAAGGAAUUGGCGGGGGGAGGCACCGCAACGGGAGGAGCGUGCGGUUUAAUUGGAUUCAACACCGUAAAACUCACCAGGGAAGACUGUUACAUGAAGGCCGAGAUGAAGACUCUGCUAGAUUUUCAGAGAGGAGGUGCAUGGCGUCAGUGACU